CCUACGGGAGACAGCAGUGAGGAAUAUUGGUCAAUGGGCUUACGCCUGAACCAGCCAAGUCGCGUGAGGGAAGACUGCCCUAUGGGUUGUAAACCUCUUUUGUCAGGGAGCAAUUGGCGCUACGUGUAGCGUUAUCAAGAGUACCUGAAGAAAAAGCAUCGGCUAACUCCGUGCCAGCAGCCGCGGUAAUACGGAGGAUCCGAGCGUUAUCCGGAUUUAUUGGGUUUAAAGGGAGCGUAGGUGGAUUGUUAAGUCAGUUGUGAAAGUUUGCGGCUCAACCGUAAAAUUGCAGUUGAAACUGGCAGUCUUGAGUACAGUAGAGGUGGGCGGAAUUCGUGGUGUAGCGGUGAAAUGCUUAGAUAUCACGAAGAACUCCGAUUGCGAAGGCAGCUCACUGGACUGCAACUGACACUGAGGCUCGAAAGUGUGGGUAUCAAACAGGAUUAGAUACCCGAGUAGUC
rnacentral:rRNA from 1 species